CAAUAGCGUAUAUUAAAGUUGUUGCAGUUAAAAAGCUCGUAGUUGGAGUUCAGAGUGAGCUCGUCCGGUCGGCCUUAUGGGUCAGAACUGGUUGACUCUCUCUUGUUUGUGGAUCCUGUCAGCAGUUAACUCUGUUGAUGUGGAGUCCACAUCGUUUACCUUGAAAAAAUUAGAGUGUUCAAAGCAGGCGUUUGCUUGAAUAUAUUAGCAUGGAAUAAUGGAAUAGGACGCUGGUUCUAUUUUGUUGGUUUUGAGAACCAGAGUAAUGAUUAAUAGGGACAGUUGGGGGCGAUUCAUAUUUCUAUUGUUCAGAGGUGGAAAUUACUUGGAUUUAUUGAAAGAAUGAACUUCUGCGAAAGCAUUUGCCAAGGAAUGUUUUCUAUUAAUUACAAGAAACGAAAGUUAAGGGUAGUCGAAGAUGAUCAGAUACCGU
rnacentral:rRNA from 1 species